rnacentral:rRNA from 1 species
GUUGGGAAUAUUGGACAAUGGGGGGAACCCUGAUCCAGCCAUGCCGCGUGUGUGAAGAAGGCCUUUUGGUUGUAAAGCACUUUAAGCGAGGAGGAGGCUACCGAGAUUAAUACUCUUGGAUAGUGGACGUUACUCGCAGAAUAAGCACCGGCUAACUCUGUGCCAGCAGCCGCGGUAAUACAGAGGGUGCAAGCGUUAAUCGGAUUUACUGGGCGUAAAGCGCGCGUAGGUGGCCAAUUAAGUCAAAUGUGAAAUCCCCGAGCUUAACUUGGGAAUUGCAUUCGAUACUGGUUGGCUAGAGUAUGGGAGAGGAUGGUAGAAUUCCAGGUGUAGCGGUGAAAUGCGUAGAGAUCUGGAGGAAUACCGAUGGCGAAGGCAGCCAUCUGGCCUAAUACUGACACUGAGGUGCGAAAGCAUGGGGAGCAAACAGGAUUAGAUACCCGUGUAGUCC